UACAUGGGGUGCAAACGUUGCUCGGAAUUAUUGGGCGUAAAGAGCUCGUAGGCGGCUUGUCACGUCGAUUGUGAAAGCCCGAGGCUUAACCUCGGGUCUGCAGUCGAUACGGGCUAGCUAGAGUGUGGUAGGGGAGAUCGGAAUUCCUGGUGUAGCGGUGAAAUGCGCAGAUAUCAGGAGGAACACCGGUGGCGAAGGCGGAUCUCUGGGCCAUUACUGACGCUGAGAAGCGAAAGCAUGGGGAGCGAACAGG
rnacentral:rRNA from 1 species